GGGCCCGCACAAGCGGUGGAGCAUGUGGUUUAAUUCGAAGCAACGCGAAGAACCUUACCAGGUCUUGACAUCCCGAUGCUAUUUCUAGAGAUAGAAAGUUACUUCGGUACAUCGGUGACAGGUGGUGCAUGGUUGUCGUCAGCUCGUGUCGUGAGAUGUUGGGUUAAGUCCCGCAACGAGCGCAACCCUUGUCUUUAGUUGCCAUCAUUAAGUUGGGCACUCUAGAGAGACUGCCAGGGAUAACCUGGAGGAAGGUGGGGAUGACGUCAAAUCAUCAUGCCCCUUAUGCUUAGGGCUACACACGUGCUACAAUGGGUAGUACAGAGGGUUGCCAAGCCGUAAGGUGGAGCUAAUCCCUUAAAGCUACUCUCAGUUCGGAUUGUAGGCUGAAACUCGCCUACAUGAAGCUGGAGUUACUAGUAAUCGCAGAUCAGAAUGCUGCGGUGAAUGGGUUCCCGGGUCUUGUACACACCGCCCGUCACACCACGGGAGUUGGAGACGCCCGAAGCCGAUUAUCUAACCUUUUGGAAGAAGUCGUCGAAGGUGGAAUCAAUAACUGGGGUGAAGUCGUAACAAGGUAGCCGUAUCGGAAGGUGCGGCUG
rnacentral:rRNA from 1 species